GGGCACUUAGCUCAGAGGUUAGAGCGCUUCGUUGACAUCGAAGAGGUCAUAGGUUCAACUCCUAUAGUGCCCA
rnacentral:tRNA from 1 species